GGCGUUCGCCCUGUCACCACGGAUCGUCGGGCACGUUCCUGCCCGUGAAAGGAAGUCCCA
rfam:Rhodococcus equi ATCC 33707 chromosome, whole genome shotgun sequence.